GCCGAGGUGGUCGAGUCUGGCUUAAGACGCUGGACUUAUGAUCCAGUUAGCGUUAACCCACAACGCUAUGAGGGUUCAAAUCCCUCCCUCGGCG
rnacentral:tRNA from 1 species